rnacentral:rRNA from 1 species
GACGAACGCUGGCGGCGUGCUUAACACAUGCAAGUCGAACGGAAAGGCCCUGCUUUUGUGGGGUGCUCGAGUGGCGAACGGGUGAGUAACACGUGAGUAACCUGCCCUUGACUUUGGGAUAACUUCAGGAAACUGGGGCUAAUACCGGAUAGGAGCUCCUGCUGCAUGGUGGGGGUUGGAAAGUUUCGGCGGUUGGGGAUGGACUCGCGGCUUAUCAGCUUGUUGGUGGGGUAGUGGCUUACCAAGGCUUUGACGGGCAGCCGGCCUGAGAGGGUGACCGGCAACAUUGGGACUGAGAUACGGCCCAGACUCCUACGGGAGGCAGCAGUGGGGAAUAUUGCACAAUGGGCGGAAGCCUGAUGCAGCAACGCCGCGUGCGGGAUGACGGCCUUCGGGUUGUAAACCGCUUUCGCCUGUGACGAAGCGUGAGUGACGGUAAUGGGUAAAGAAGCACCGGCUAACUACGUG